UCCGUAGGGUGAACCUGCGGAGGGAUCAUUACAGAGUUGCAAAACUCCCUAAACCAUUGUGAACGUUACCUAUACCGUUGCUUCGGCGGGCGGCCCCGGGGUUUACCCCCCGGGCGCCCCUGGGCCCCACCGCGGGCGCCCGCCGGAGGUCACCAAACUCUUGAUAAUUUAUGGCCUCUCUGAGUCUUCUGUACUGAAUAAGUCAAAACUUUCAACAACGGAUCUCUUGGUUCUGGCAUCGAUGAAGAACGCAGCGAAAUGCGAUAAGUAAUGUGAAUUGCAGAAUUCAGUGAAUCAUCGAAUCUUUGAACGCACAUUGCGCCCGCCAGCAUUCUGGCGGGCAUGCCUGUUCGAGCGUCAUUUCAACCAUCAAGCCCCCGGGCUUGUGUUGGGGACCUGCGGCUGCCGCAGGCCCUGAAAAGCAGUGGCGGGCUCGCUGUCGCACCGAGCGUAGUAGCAUACAUCUCGCUCUGGUCGCGCCGCGGGUUCCGGCCGUUAAACCACCUUUUAACCCAAGGUUGACCUCGGAUCAGGUAGGAAGACCCGCUGAACUUAAGCAUAUCAAUAA
rnacentral:rRNA from 1 species